AACCUCCGCAAUGUGAGAAAUCGCGACGGGGGGAUCCCAAGUGCCAUUCUUAACGGGAUGGCUUUUCAUUAGUGUAAAGAGCUUUUGGAAUAAGAGCUGGGCAAGACCGGUGCCAGCCGCCGCGGUAACACCGGCAGCUCUAGUGGUAACAAUUUUUAUUGGGCCUAAAGCGUCCGUAGCCGGUUUAAUAAGUCUCUGGUGAAAUCCUGUAGCUUAACUGUGGGAAUUGCUGGAGAUACUAUUAGACUUGAGACCGGGAGAGGUUAGAGGUACUCCCAGGGUAGAGGUGAAAUUCUGUAAUCCUGGGAGGACCGCCUGUUGCGAAGGCGUCUAACUGGAACGGUUCUGACGGUGAGGGACGAAAGUUAGGGGCGCGAACCGGAUUAGAUACCCGGGUAGUCCUAACUGUAAACGAUGCGGACUUGGUGUUGGGGUGGCUUUGAGCUGCUCCAGUGCCGAAGGGAAGCUGUUAAGUCCGCCGCCUGGGAAGUCGGUACGCAAGACUGAAACUUAAAGGAAUU
rnacentral:rRNA from 1 species